rnacentral:rRNA from 1 species
UACAGAGGUGGCAAGCGUUGUUCGGAAUUACUGGGCGUAAAGGGCGCGUAGGCGGCCAUCUAAGUCAGACGUGAAAUCCCCCGGCUUAACCUGGGAACUGCGUCUGAUACUGGAAGGCUUGAGUAUGGGAGAGGGAUGUAGAAUUCCAGGUGUAGCGGUGAAAUGCGUAGAUAUCUGGAGGAAUACCGGUGGCGAAGGCGGCAUCCUGGACCAUUACUGACGCUGAGGCGCGAAAGCUAGGGAAGCAAACGGG